GGGAGAUGUGCGGGGCGACGGGACCGAGGAGAGCAAACAUCGGAGGUUGCCUGUCACUACUGCAAUCAUGGGCACGGUUUCGCUUUCCAUUUCUACGUCCUCGAGUGAACCACCCAUAUACAUUCCCACUCAUAACGAGGUGGAACCAUCCGGCAAGUUAUCGUGGAUUACCGUCUGAACUUGAAGAUAUACGGCUUCUAUUGGAGCAAUGGUCGGAAGCAGAAUUUCAAUGGACACCAUACGAGGACCCGGCAAUUCGGGCAGUAAUCUCGGAAGAGUUUUUACAAAAUCCAAACGCUUGGCACGCGAAAGUGGUGUUGAUCAACUAUGCAACCGUGGAGCCCCACCAGACAGACAGAGUGCUACGACAGUUUGGAUGUAGACAACCGAUUCCUGCGGACCCUGAAGUGUUUGACGAUCACCACAAAAUCGACCUUCAGCUAUUAGG